AAUCAACGCUGGCGGCGUGCCUAACACAUGCAAGUCGAACGCGAACGUUCCGCAAGGGACAAGUAGAGUGGCGCACGGGUGAGUAACACGUGGACAACCUGCCUGGGAGUGGGGAGUAACCUUCCGAAAGGAGGGCUAAUACCGCAUAAGACGGGAGGACCUAAGUUCUCCGGUUGAAAGGAGCAAUUCGCUCCCAGAGGGGUCCGCGCCUGAUUAGCUAGUUGGUGAGGUAACGGCUCACCAAGGCUGCGAUCAGUAGCCGUCCUGAGAGGGAGCACGGCCACACUGGAACCGAGACACGGUCCAGACUCCUACGGGA
rnacentral:rRNA from 1 species